ensembl:lncRNA
GCCUCAGUAGGUCACCUGACGUCCUUCUUUUCGAUCGUCAGGCUCUCUCGCUGCUGCUCGUCCCAACCGCAUGCCGUUAGUGUCAUGUCUUGGCCAUACCAGAAGAAUUUGGUUUGGAGGCAGCCUUGGAGAAGUACACAGAUGUUUGAUUUUAUCUGAAAGCUACUUUUCAAGAUAUGGAAGUCUGGAGAAUUUUACAAGAGCAUGUGAACUUUUAGCCUGUGUUUGCAAUAACAAGAUCUUUACUGGAAUAAAAAGACAUAUCUGUUGUAUACUAGCACUAGAGCUGUAAAGGCAAAGAUUUGCUCUUUAUGCAUAUACCAAAGACACUGUGGCCUCCCAUUCACCAGCCCACAGGCGAAAAAUCCUAUUCUGCAGAAAAAAAAAGAUGUUGUUCUUCCUCUUAGAUAUUUUUUCAAUAUAACUGUGUUGGGUAAGGCUUAGACCUUUGUAUUCUCCCUGAACAAAUUCCUUGUAGUGAUAACCUAUAUGAACACUGCAUUUUUGCAUCUAAUGUUUGCACCUGGAGGUCAUUUGCUAGGGUCAUAUCUCCUUGGGAUGUGCUUUCUCCUGCUUUCCUAGCAAAUAAAGGACUUGAUCUUUGUCUAUU